rnacentral:rRNA from 2 species
AGAGUUUGAUCAUGGCUCAGAUUGAACGCUGGCGGCAGGCCUAACACAUGCAAGUCGAGCGGUAGCACAGAGAGCUUGCUCUCGGGUGACGAGCGGCGGACGGGUGAGUAAUGUCUGGGAAACUGCCUGAUGGAGGGGGAUAACUACUGGAAACGGUAGCUAAUACCGCAUAACGUCGCAAGACCAAAGUGGGGGACCUUCGGGCCUCAUGCCAUCAGAUGUGCCCAGAUGGGAUUAGCUAGUAGGUGGGGUAACGGCUCACCUAGGCGACGAUCCCUAGCUGGUCUGAGAGGAUGACCAGCCACACUGGAACUGAGACACGGUCCAGACUCCUACGGGAGGCAGCAGUGGGGAAUAUUGCACAAUGGGCGCAAGCCUGAUGCAGCCAUGCCGCGUGUGUGAAGAAGGCCUUCGGGUUGUAAAGCACUUUCAGCGGGGAGGAAGGCGAUAAGGUUAAUAACCUUGUCGAUUGACGUUACCCGCAGAAGAAGCACCGGCUAACUCCGUGCCAGCAGCCGCGGUAAUACGGAGGGUGCAAGCGUUAAUCGGAAUUACUGGGCGUAAAGCGCACGCAGGCGGUCUGUCAAGUCGGAUGUGAAAUCCCCGGGCUCAACCUGGGAACUGCAUUCGAAACUGGCAGGCUAGAGUCUUGUAGAGGGGGGUAGAAUUCCAGGUGUAGCGGUGAAAUGCGUAGAGAUCUGGAGGAAUACCGGUGGCGAAGGCGGCCCCCUGGACAAAGACUGACGCUCAGGUGCGAAAGCGUGGGGAGCAAACAGGAUUAGAUACCCUGGUAGUCCACGCCGUAAACGAUGUCGAUUUGGAGGUUGUGCCCUUGAGGCGUGGCUUCCGGAGCUAACGCGUUAAAUCGACCGCCUGGGGAGUACGGCCGCAAGGUUAAAACUCAAAUGAAUUGACG